AUUGAACGCUGGCGGCAUGCUUUACACAUGCAAGUUGAACGGUAACAGGGAGCUUGCUCCGCUGACGAGUGGCGAACGGGUGAGUAAUGCGUCGGAACGUGCCGAGUAGUGGGGGAUAACGCAUCGAAAGGUGUGCUAAUACCGCAUACGUACUGAGGUAGAAAGUGGGGGACCUUCGGGCCUCACGCUAUUCGAGCGGCCGACGUCUGAUUAGCUAGUUGGUGAGGUAAAGGCUCACCAAGGCGUCGAUCAGUAGCGGGUCUGAGAGGAUGAACCGCCACAGUGGGACGGAGACACGGCCCAGACUCCUACGGGAGGGAGCAGUGGGGAAUUUUGGACAAUGGGCGCACGCCUGAUCCAGCCAUGCCGCGUGUCUGAAGAAGGCCUUCGGGUUGUAAAGCGCUUUUGCCAGGGAGCAAAUCCUUGUGGCUAAUACCCACCGGGGAUGAGAGUACCUGAAGGAUAAGGACCGGCUAACUACGUGCCAGCAGCCGCGGUAAAAC
rnacentral:rRNA from 1 species